rnacentral:rRNA from 1 species
GACGAACGCUGGCGGCGUGCUUAACACAUGCAAGUCGUACGGUAAGGCCCUUUCGGGGGUACACGAGUGGCGAACGGGUGAGUAACACGUGAGUAACCUGCCCACAACUUUGGGAUAACGCUAGGAAACUGGUGCUAAUACUGGAUAUGUGCCCCUGCUGCAUGGUGGGGGUUGGAAAGCUCCGGCGGUUGUGGAUGGACUCGCGGCCUAUCAGCUUGUUGGUGGGGUAGUGGCCUACCAAGGCGGCGACGGGUAGCCGGCCUGAGAGGGUGACCGGCCACAUUGGGACUGAGAUACGGCCCAGACUCCUACGGGAGGCAGCAGUGGGGAAUAUUGCACAAUGGGCGCAAGCCUGAUGCAGCAACGCCGCGUGCGGGAUGACGGCCUUCGGGUUGUAAACCGCGUUCAGCAGGGACGAAGCUUUUUGUGACGGUACCUGCAGAAGAAGCACCGGCUAACUACGUG